UACGAAGGGGGCUAGCGUUGCUCGGAAUCACUGGGCGUAAAGCGCACGUAGGCGGAUCUUUAAGUCAGGGGUGAAAUCCUGGAGCUCAACUCCAGAACUGCCUUUGAUACUGGGGAUCUCGAGUCCGGGAGAGGUGAGUGGAACUGCGAGUGUUGAGGUGAAAUUCGUAGAUAUUCGCAAGAACACCAGUGGCGAAGGCGGCUCACUGGCCCGGUACUGACGCUGAGGUGCGAAAGCGUGGGGAGCAAACAGG
rnacentral:rRNA from 1 species